rnacentral:rRNA from 1 species
UACAUGGGGUGCAAACGUUGCUCGGAAUCAUUGGGCGUAAAGCGCGCGUAGGCGGUUACUUAAGUCGGAUGUGAAAGCCCUCGGCUUAACCGAGGAAGUGCAUCCGAAACUGAGUAGCUAGAGUACUAAAGAGGGUCGCGGAAUUCCCGGUGUAGAGGUGAAAUUCGUAGAUAUCGGGAGGAACACCGGUGGCGAAGGCGGCGACCUGGGUAGAUACUGACGCUGAGGCGGCGAAAAGCGUGGGGAGCAAACAGGG